GACGAAGGUGGCGAGCGUUGUUCGGAAUCACUGGGCAUAAAGCGCACGUAGGCGGUGUCGUAAGUCGGAUGUGAAAUCCCUCGGCCUAACCGAGGAACUGCGUCCGAUACUGCGGUGCUUGAGGACUGGAGAGGAGACUGGAAUUCAUGGUGUAGCAGUGAAAUGCGUAGAGAUCAUGAGGAAGACCAGUGGCGAAGGCGGGUCUCUGGACAGUUCCUGACACUGAGACACGAAGGCCAGGGGAGCAAACGGG
rnacentral:rRNA from 1 species